rnacentral:rRNA from 1 species
AUUGAACGCUGGCGGCAUGCCUUACACAUGCAAGUCGAACGGCAGCACGGGUGCUUGCACCUGGUGGCGAGUGGCGAACGGGUGAGUAAUACAUCGGAACGUACCUUAUCGUGGGGGAUAACGCAGCGAAAGCUGUGCUAAUACCGCAUAAGCCCUGAGGGGGAAAGCGGGGGCUCGAAAGACCUCGCGCGAUUAGAGCGGCCGAUGCCUGAUUAGCUUGUUGGUGGGGUAAAAGCCCACCAAGGCGACGAGCAGUAGCUGGUCUGAGAGGACGAUCAGCCACGCGGGGACUGAGACACGGCCCAGACUCCUACGGGAGGCAGCAGUUGGGAAUUUUGGACAAUGGGGGCAACCCUGAUCCAGCAAUGCCGCGUGAGUGAAGAAGGCCUUCGGGUUGUAAAGCUCUUUUGUCAGGGAAGAAACACCGGCUCUAACACAGUCCGGGAAUGACGGUACCUGAAGAAUAAGCACCGGCUAACUACGUGCCAGCCGCCGCGGUAA